rnacentral:rRNA from 1 species
UACGUAGGGUGCGAGCGUUAAUCGGAAUUACUGGGCGUAAAGCGUGUGUAGGCGGCCGCGUAAGUCGGAUGUGAAAGCCCUGGGCUCAACCCAGGAAGUGCACUCGAUACUGCGUGGCUCGAGUACUGGAGAGGUUGGUGGAAUUCUCGGUGUAGAGGUGAAAUUCGUAGAUAUCGAGAGGAACACCGGUGGCGAAGGCGGCCAACUGGACAGAUACUGACGCUGAGACACGAAAGCGUGGGGAGCAAACAGG